rnacentral:misc_RNA from 1 species
UUACAAUUUUAACUGCCUUGCACCAUCAUAGUAGCACAGAAGGCUGCAUCAUGUAUAACAAACACACCCACUCUCUAAUGCAUCGCUUCAUUUACAUUCUUCAGUCUUGUCUUUUCCCGCUAUUGAUAGUAUAAUCAUAUGAAAAAUCCAUAAAGACAUAUUUAUGAACACUACUAAGGACACUGUAAUCAAGUAAAGCCUUCAGAUUAACGGACACCCGCAACCGUCUGUUAACAAAUCACUUCAUUCGAAAGAAAACUUAUACGGCCCAGUGCAUAGUUACUAGGCACUUAAAUAAACACCGAUCUCAAAUGGAGAUUCUUAAAUAUAUUUUGCCCAACAUCGGGUUAGAAUAGUGCUCAUAAUUAUUCGAGAUCUCAACAACAUAACCUCGUAGCUGGUAUUUCAGUACGUUUAAUUUAAGAUGGGUUUCGGACAGUCGUCUAUGCUUUUGAAGGUCGGGUUUAUUCUGAUUAUAGUGGCUCUCGUAAUCCAGAUUUUGGGAGUUGCUUUACCAUACUGGUAUCAGAAAGAGUACUCGAGCAGUUACUAGUGAGAACGGUGGACUGUGGAAAUCUUGUAGGAGAAAAUCUAAAUGUGAAAUUGUGCAUAGAUAGGGAGAAUGCUGCAGACUGGAUUGAAGCUUGUCGAGCGUUCCAGAUAAUUGGACUUCUAAUUCUGGUGGCCUCUCUCGUACUGUGUUUUAUUGUACUGUUUAUCAAGAAUGACAUGAAGGUUUUGAAACUUAUAAACUGGAUUCUAUGCUUUUGUGCAUGUGGCUUCAUCAUCAUCGGUAUCAUCAUCUACGGAGCUGAAGCAUCAGGUGUGUUCGAGGAAUACUCGGGGGCGUUUGCUAUCACCAUCAUUUCUGGGAUUGUGGCCCUUGUUGCCGGAGUUGUGUGUCUCCUUGACUGGAUGGGCAAGGGAACUCCUGCAUAAAGACAGACAGACAUUGUAGAAAACAUUUACAAAUAUAGUGGACAUCUAUGAGAAUUUAAAAUGAUCUGGGAUAAAAUUAUAAUUAGAUCAGGUUUAUUUUAAUAUUUCUUGAUAUGACGUUUGAAUAAAGUCCACCGAAAGUUUAAAAUUAAUAGAAACAUUGAACUUACGUUCGCAUAAUACUACUGAAUUGUACUGGUGGUUUAUACGGUGAAAAACACAAACUUUAUCUCAAAAGAAAGUAAUGUUUGGAAUUACACUAUCUGUGAUCGUAUAACUAAGUAUAAGUGUUUACUUUUUAAUAUAAAGAGAACGGUAUUUUAUAAACUUGUGAGAACUUGUUACCCAACCCUUUAGCAUUUACUGUUGUUUGUGCUGUGUAAGUAAGCUGUGUUACAUGAAAUAAAUAUAAGGAAACAAAUUUUAUUGUUAGAACAUUGGUAUAUGAAUAAAUAGAUAA